rnacentral:rRNA from 1 species
UCUUGGUCUUAGAGGAAGUAAAAGUCGUAACCAAGGGUUUCCGUAGGUGAACCUGCGGAAGGAUCAUUACCUAGAGUUGUAGGCUUUGCCUGCUAUCUCUUACCCAUGUCUUUUGAGCACCUUAUGUUUCCUCGGUGGGCUCGCCCGCCGAUUGGACAAAAUUUAAACCCUUUGUAGUUUGUAAUCAGCGUCUGAAAAAAACUUAAUAGUUACAACUUUCAACAACGGAUCUCUUGGUUCUGGCAUCGAUGAAGAACGCAGCGAAAUGCGAUAAGUAGUGUGAAUUGCAGAAUUCAGUGAAUCAUCGAAUCUUUGAACGCACAUUGCGCCCCUUGGUAUUCCAUGGGGCAUGCCUGUUCGAGCGUCAUUUGUACCUUCAAGCUUUGCUUGGUGUUGGGUGUUUGUCUCGCCUUUGCGUGUAGACUCGCCUUAAAACAAUUGGCAGCCGGCGUAUUGAUUUCGGAGCGCAGUACAUCUCGCGCUUUGCACUCAUAACGGUGGCGUCCAAAAGUACAUUUUUUACACUCUUGACCUCGGAUCAGGUAGGGAUACCCGCUGAACUUAAGCAUAUCAA